GAUGAACGCUGGCGGCGUGCCUAAUACAUGCAAGUCGAGCGAACGGACGAGAAGCUUGCUUCUCUGAUGUUAGCGGCGGACGGGUGAGUAACACGUGGAUAACCUACCUAUAAGACUGGGAUAACUUCGGGAAACCGGAGCUAAUACCGGAUAAUAUUUUGAACCGCAUGGUUCAAAAGUGAAAGACGGUCUUGCUGUCACUUAUAGAUGGAUCCGCGCUGCAUUAGCUAGUUGGUAAGGUAACGGCUUACCAAGGCAACGAUGCAUAGCCGACCUGCGAGGGGGAUCGGCCACCCUGGAACUGAGACAGGGUCCAGACUCCUACGGGAGGCAGCAGUAGGGAAUGUUCCGCAAUGGGCGAAAGCCUGACGGAGCAACGCCGCGUGAGUGAUGAAGGUCUUCGGAUCGUAAAACUCUGUUAUGAGGGAAGAACAUAUGUGUAAGUAACUGUGCACAUCUUGACGGUACCUAAUCAGAAAGCCACGGCUAACUACGUG
rnacentral:rRNA from 1 species